rnacentral:rRNA from 1 species
CGGGGUGCACCAGGCGCGAAAACUUUACAAUGCCGGCAACGGCGAUAAGGGAACCUCGAGUGCCAGGUUACAAAUCUGGCUGUCGUGAUGCCUAAAAAGCAUUGCAUAGCAAGGGCCGGGCAAGACCGGUGCCAGCCGCCGCGGUAACACCGGCGGCUCGAGUGGUAACCGUUAUUAUUGGGUCUAAAGGGUCUGUAGCCGGCCGGGUAAGUCUCUUGGGAAAUCUGGCAGCUUAACUGUCAGGCUUUCAGGAGAUACUGCCUGGCUCGAGGCCGGGAGAGGUGAGAGGUACUUCAGGGGUAGGGGUGGAAUCUUGUAAUCCUUGAAGGACCACCAGUGGCGAAGGCGUCUCACCGGAACGGACCUGACGGCAAGGGACGAAAGCUAGGGGCACGAACCGGAUUAGAUACCCGGGUAGUCCUAGCCGUAAACGAUACUCGCUAGGUGUCGGCCACGGUGCGACCGUGGUCGGUGCCGUAGGGAAGCCGUGAAGCGAGCCACCUGGGAAGUACGGCCGCAAGGCUGAAACUUAAAGGAAUUGGCGGGGGAGCACAAGGGCGAAUUCGCG